UACGAAGGGGGCUAGCGUUGUUCGGAUUUACUGGGCGUAAAGCGCACGUAGGCGGAUCGUUAAGUCAGGGGUGAAAUCCUGGAGCUCAACUCCAGAACUGCCUUUGAUACUGGCGAUCUUGAGUCCGGAAGAGGUGAGUGGAACUCCUAGUGUAGAGGUGGAAUUCGUAGAUAUUAGGAAGAACACCAGUGGCGAAGGCGGCUCACUGGUCCGGUACUGACGCUGAGGUGCGAAAGCGUGGGGAGCAA
rnacentral:rRNA from 1 species